rnacentral:tRNA from 1 species
CCUGGUGGCUCAGACGGUAAAGCGUCUGCCUGCAAUGCAGGGGACCCGGGUUCAAUUCCUGGGUCAGGA